rnacentral:rRNA from 1 species
GACGAGCUGUGCAAACGUUAUUCGGAAUUACUGGGCUUAAAGAGUUCGUAGGCGGCGCGUUAGGUGGGGUGUGAAAUCCCUCGGCUCAACCCGAGGAAUGGCGCUCUAAACCGGCGUGCUUGAGGAAGGUAGAGGUGAGCGGAACUGAUGGUGGAGCGGUGAAAUGCGUUGAUAUCAUCAGGAACACCGGAGGCGAAGGCGGCUCACUGGGCCUUUUUCUGACGCUGAGGAACGAAAGCCAAGGGUAGCGAACGGG